GUUGCUAGGAUAACCCGGAGGACAGUGGCAUGCAUGUUUGGCACUGCUUUGUGCCCUGAUAAUAUUUGGUAGGCCUAUUCGUGGUGUUUUACAUUCUUACCUGGAGGGGAAAAAUUAUAUACAGCAGGGAUCGCUGCUGUGUGUUGGGCGAUUUGGUUGUGUCGCAACAGGGCUACUUUUGAAUGCAAACCACUUACAAACCCGUUUGAAUGUACCUUCUCUGCUUGUGCCUUAAUUUGCUACUGGGCAGGAAUGAUGAAGCAAGAUGACGCGACUGCCAUGAGGGACGGGGCGAAGAUGCUGAAGGAGAAUGCAUCAAUGAUGAUGAGGAUUUGUGCUGCGAGCCAUGAAGAGGCGGCCUGCUGA
rnacentral:rRNA from 1 species